GAAUUCGCCCUUGGGGAAUUUUCCGCAAUGGGCGAAAGCCUGACGGAGCAAGACCGCGUGGGGGAGGAAGGUUCUUGGAUUGUCAACCCCUUUUCUCAGGGAAGAACACAAUGACGGUACCUGAGGAAAAAGCAUCGGCUAACUCCGUGCCAGCAGCCGCGGUAAUACGGGGGAUGCAAGCGUUAUCCGGAAUGAUUGGGCGUAAAGAGUCCGUAGGUAGUCAUCCAAGUCUGCUGUUAAAGAGCGAGGCUUAACCUCGUAAAGGCAGUGGAAACUGGAAGACUAGAGUGUAGUAGGGGCAGAGGGAAUUCCUGGUGUAGCGGUGAAAUGCGUAGAGAUCAGGAAGAACACCGGUGGCGAAGGCGCUCUGCUGGGCUAUAACUGACACUGAGGGACGAAAGCUAGGGGAGCGAAUGGGAUUAGAUACCCCAGUAGUCCUAGCGGUAAACGAUGGAAACUAGGUGUGGCCUGUAUCGACCCGGGCCGUGCCGAAGCAAACGCGUUAAGUUUCCCGCCUGGGGAGUACGCACGCAAGUGUGAAACUCAAAGGAAUUGACGGGGGCCCGCACAAGCGGUGGAGUAUGUGGUUUAAUUCGAUGCAACGCGAAGAACCUUACCAGGACUUGACAUCUCUGGAAUCUCCUUGAAAGGGGAGAGUGCCGUAAGGAACCGGAA
rnacentral:rRNA from 1 species